GCAUUAUACGGCGAAACUGCGAAUGGCUCAUUAAAUCAGUUAUCGUUUAUUUGAUAGCACCUUACUACAUGGAUAACCGUGGUAAUUCUAGAGCUAAUACAUGCUAAAAAUCCCGACUUCGGAAGGGAUGUAUUUAUUAGAUUAAAAACCAAUGCCCCUCGGGGCUCUCUGGUGAUUCAUGAUAACUCCUCGAAUCGCACGGCCUUGCGCUGGCGAUGGUUCAUUCAAAUUUCUGCCCUAUCAACUUUCGACGGCUGGGUCUUGGCCAGCCAUGGUGACAACGGGUAACGGAGGGUUAGGGCUCGACCCCGGAGAAGGAGCCUGAGAAACGGCUACUACAUCCAAGGAAGGCAGCAGGCGCGCAAAUUACCCAAUCCCGACACGGGGAGGUAGUGACAAUAAAUACUGAUACAGGGCUCUUUUGGGUCUUGUAAUCGGAAUGAGUACAAUUUAAACCCCUUAACGAGGAACAAUUGGAGGGCAAGUCUGGUGCCAGCAGCCGCGGUAAUUCCAGCUCCAAUAGCGUAUAUUAAAGUUGUUGCAGUUAAAAAGCUCGUAGUUGAACCUUGGGCCUGGCUGGCCGGUCCGCCUCACCGCGUGCACUGGUCCGGCCGGGCCUUUCCCUCUGGGGAACCUCAUGCCCUUCACUGGGCGUGCUGGGGAACCAGGACUUUUACUUUGAACAAAUCAGAUCGCUUAAAGAAGGCCUAUGCUCGGAUACAUUAGCAUGGNAAUAAUAGAAUAGGACGCGUGGUUCUAUUUUGUUGGUUUCUAGGACCGCCGUAAUGAUUAAUAGGGACAGUCGGGGGCAUCAGUAUUCAAUUGUCAGAGGUGAAAUUCUUGGAUUUAUUGAAGACUAACUACUGCGAAAGCAUUUGCCAAGGAUGUUUUCAUUAAUCAGGAACGAAAGUUAGGGGAUCGAAGACGAUCAGAUACCGUCGUAGUCUUAACCAUAAACUAUGCCGACUAGGGAUCGGACGAUGUUAUUCAUUGACUCGUUCGGCACCUUACACGAAAGUAAAG
rnacentral:rRNA from 1 species